GAUGAACGCUGGCGGCGUGCCUAAUACAUGCAAGUCGAGCGAACGGACGAGAAGCUUGCUUCUCUGAUGUUAGCGGCGGACGGGUGAGUAACACGUGGAUAACCUACCUAUAAGACUGGGAUAACUUCGGGAAACCGUAGCUAAUACCGGAUAAUAUUUUGAACCGCAUGGUUCAAAAGUGAAAGACGGUCUUGCUGUCACUUAUAGAUGGAUCCGCGCUGCAUUAGCUAGUUGGUAGGUAACGGCUUACCAAGGCAACGAUGCAUAGCCGACCUGAGAGGGUGAUCGGCCACACUGGAACUGAGACACGGUCCAGACUCCUACGGGAGGCAGCAGUAGGGAAUCUUCCGCAAUGGGCGAAAGCCUGACGGAGCAACGCCGCGUGAGUGAUGAAGGUCUUCGGAUCGUAAAACUCUGUUAUUAGGGAAGAACAUAUGUGUAAGUAACUGUGCACAUCUUGACGGUACCUAAUCAGAAAGCCACGGCUAACUACGUG
rnacentral:rRNA from 1 species